CAGAGGUGGCAAGCGUUGUUCGGAAUUACUGGGCGUAAAGGGCGCGUAGGCGGCCUUGUGAGUCAGACGUGAAAUCCCCAGGCUUAACUUGGGAACUGCGUCUGAUACUGCAAGGCUCGAGUGCGGGAGAGGGAUGUGGAAUUCCAGGUGUAGCGGUGAAAUGCGUAGAUAUCUGGAGGAACACCGGUGGCGAAGGCGGCGUCCUGGACCGACACUGACGCUGAGGCGCGAAAGCUAGGGGAGCAAACGGGAUUAGAUACCCCGGUAGUCCUAGCCCUAAACGAUGAGUGCUUGGUGUGGCGGGUAUCGAUCCCUGCCGUGCCGAAGCUAACGCAUUAAGCACUCCGCCUGGGGAGUACGGUCGCAAGGCUG
rnacentral:rRNA from 1 species